UUUAGUUCGCAAAAAUUUUCAAAAUUCCCCGUCACAUCGAAUCUUUGGUCACAUGCAUGGAGCAUUAAAUAUAGAUAAAAAUAAAAACUAAUUGCACAGUUUACCUGUAAUUUGUGAGAUAAAUCUUUUGAGCUUAGUUACUCCAUGAUUGGACAAUGUUUGUCAAAUAAAAACGAAAGUGCUACAGUAGCCAAAAACCAA
rnacentral:lncRNA from 1 species